UUUCUUGCUUUUUGCAACCGUGGGACCGCGUUUCUGCGCUUCAGAUUGCGUUUUUCCGACUCCUUUGUUUGAUAUCGUGUCGUAUCGUCGUAUUUAUGUAGUUAUUAGGAACGGCAAGGCCUACGUUGUUGCGUCCUUUACCUGAAUAUCGUGACCGAAUCGAGUGUCGUCGAUUUGAAUCGUGUCUUGCGAACCAUCGUCGAACAAAAGGUGAUGGCUGGUCGUGGUUCAUCAGCGUUUGUUUUGAAACUGAUGGGUACCACAAGGCAUGAAGGAGGUGACUUGCAGCAGCAAGGCACUGCAAGCCUUCGCAGCAACUGGCUAGCCAGUGCUGCUCUGUUCUGAACUGCACUGCGUGUCAUGCGGAGGUUUUGUGCAAGCUCUCUGGGCGGCGACGCUAGCCACGGAGCUGGCCUCCCUCCCUUCCAUCAGCUGCGAGAUACUACAAGCACUGGGCUACAGCUGCAGCUAGCCCAUGGGUACCGUUCUGCGUCCUGUACUGCAUCUAGUUCGAAAGGCCAUGUGAAAGGCAGGUACCGGGGACCAUGACAUCAGUGAGCUGGCUUUCACCUUGUCCAAGGCAGCAGCGGAACACUACGGGCGGGACCCUGGAUCACUGCACCAUGGAUGCCGUCCUGUACCCUGCACGGCACUGCGUGUGGCUUAAGUGGCCAAGCAGAGGGUCAUUGCAUGACUUUUAUGAGGCGCCGCUAGCCAUUGUAAGUACAUUUUGGACACUCAUGUCUGGUGAUGUACUUUUGUGCUCUACCGCAGAGCACAUUUGGUGGCGGUUCAGUCUUGCCAAUUACACCAUUUUGAAACGGAACACAUUUAGUGGUGGCUCGGUUUAGGUUUCCUGGCUCGGUGAUCUUGCAACAGUGUCUAGACUUGGCGUAAACCUUUUUGUACUUCAUUGUCAAGGCUAGUGUAAUUUCUGCAAUGCCGUUGAAGCCACUUCUGCACGCAAACAAGAUAAAAGUCGAAGCUACAUGCUCGUGCACAGUGUAUGACUACAUGUAUGCAUGGGCACUCGUGCCCAUGCGUACCCACUCGCAACAUGGAGCAUGUUUGUUUCGGCCGACACUCCACGCGUUCAUUUCGGCGUCGCCACUCCACACGUCUAUGCACUCGCUGCACCUUGAGAAUCAAGUGUGCACCAGAAUGCACUCCCGUCAUGCAUCACUCGGGAGAGGAACAAGAGCAGACGACUGGGGUUUUUCUGCCAUAAGGAACGAGAACCGAAAAAAAGGGGAUUUUCUGCUAAGAAACUGCGUCCCACGGGCAGCAAAAUCGGACGCGAGCUGGGCUAUUUAUUCUGUGAAGCAAGCAAUCGACAACCUGUGCUUCAUUUUCAAGUUUUCUUUCAGCUUGUUGCCACACAGACAUUGAAAUACAUCAAUGGGAUAAAGUAAGGUUCAGAACCAACAUCAGCUACCGUGAGAUCUCUCACCAUCCUUGCGGGGUUGAAAAAUUGGGACUUCAAUUGACAAACCUCGCCCGCCCUCCUGUCCAUCAUCACCUGACCCCAUUCUGCAUAUGUGGGGCGCAAGGGAGCGUGAUCAUGUGGCUGAAGAUACAAGUGUGACCGGCCCAACGAGCACAUAGUUUCCACAGCACUGUCGGCUUAGGGGUGCACGGAAGAUACUGUAUAAACUGGAAUAUAGGUCGACCCCUUAAUUUACAAGUUGCAAGAUGCAAAAGAAGUUUUUAUGGCAAGAAAACGCAACCUUACCUUGGUGACAAAAUUGUCCAAGUAUAUGAAAGGACGAGAAAACACGGCAGAUUUAUUUAAUUGUUUUGCAGUCAAUAAAACAGGAAGUAUGCGAGUGUUACUACUCAGAUUCCUCAGAGCCUUCGUCCGACGACGAGUUCACUAACACAAUUUAAAGGGACGAUGCCGUCCCUUUGAAUUGCGCCCUCGAAAGCUCGGAGGCACGAGCAACCUUAACGCCUUUUAUAUGGAUGCUCUCCGACAUCACAGGUAUCGAUGUGGCGCACAGAUCCCGAAUAAAGUUUGCCGCCUUUGUUUCCAAUUCGGGGUACACUGCAGUCCUUCCACGAAAUUAAGUUUUCCUCGCCUUGCUGCACGCCGCCGGUUUUUGUCUCUGGUUUUGCCAGUAGCAUAUGCUUUUCUCCGAUACACUGAACUCUCGCUGCGCUGCAAGAUUCCGGUGGAUCUCUGCAUAGGCGAUUGCCUUGUUCUAAAAGGUUACUGUGAACUGUCUUCUACUUCCGCUCAUUAUUGCUGCGGUAGAUGUAACAAACCAAGGAGCACAAGUAAAAGUUAAUCGUGACAAGUGGACGAGUGCUAGGCCAUUGCAAUAUAAAACAAAAUGGCGUCUUCAGGCACUGAGUGUUGCGAGAUUAUUUUUGUUUUUCCGCUAAUGACCGUCAUAUAAGACGAGGGUCGACUUUUUCAGGUCCAAUUUCAAGAAUAAAUUCGACCUAUAUUCCGGUUUAUAUGCUAGUUGUGCAUAGUACUGUGGAAGCCACAGGCUGGGGAGGGGGGGAUUAGCAACUUUUGUCUGAACGUUGAGCGACGAGCAUCAAGGGCCAAUUUCCUAGGGGGAGAAUGGUGACGUGCGAGUACAAAAAUGAGGAUCCAAGCGCCAUGAGCAAGAGGGGAGUUCCUCCUUUUCCUCCUCUUGAACUGCUAGAGGUAUACUUAUGCCCCUGUACCUUUGGUAACACUGCACAAUUUGUAAGUUGAGGAAAGCUAAGAAGGAAGUUGAAGAAUCGAUUCAUGACCCCUUUAACAUUUACCUACACUAGUUACCUUGCACCAUUAUAUUUUGUUUGAGAAAGCUCUCAUCCUCACCCCUCCCAUAAGGGAUAAAAUCAGAAGUGUAUACAACGAUCGGAAUCUAAAGUGCCACGAAACCUAUUGCUGGACAUUCUUACGGGUUAGUGAUCAUUUUUUGUAUGAAUGAGGCCUUACCAGUGCCUUUGCCUCAAUAGUGUGGUAAAAGGGCAAUUUUCUUGUUUGUGCGCACAAAUUUGUUUUGAAACAUAACUUGCUGGACUACCAAUGCAUGUUUCAAGAUCUCUGUUGUGGUGAAUGUUUUGCUGCCUGUUAUAUUCUUCAAUAGCCAGUAUCGUUUAAGUUCUAGAACUCUAUACAGUAAACUCCCACUUGAGCAAACUUCUAGGGACUCAAAGAAAUAGUUCCCUUAACUAGGAGUCCACUCAACUGAAUAUAUUCACUGGAUUAUGGAACAGCAUAGGGCACAGCAUACAUUGAGUCAAAAGGGUGAAAUGCAAUUUAUGGAGUCAUGUACAUUGAUAUAUACAAAGUGUAUUGCAGUUACGCUGCUGCCUUUCUCAUUUUGAAAAUAGUCAAUAAUUUUCAUUUGCACCGGCGCUCUGAAAGCGCAUGAAGUAACAAAGUUGCCCAGAGAGUAUCUUUUUUUUUUUUGCAUAUCCUCUGGCACAGCUAGUUGCUGUGAGGAAGUCAUACCGCAACGGCACUGUCCACUGGCUUGAAAUAUUCAGUGCAGAGCCGUUCCCUGUUGGGAUUGAACGCAGUUUCUCUUUCAAGCUUCGACUUUUGCUUCACUAACGUUGACAACGUCGACGGUAGCAUCCGAUAGUCCUUCGCAACAUUCACUUGCCUUUGACCGUUGCCCAGACGCUGAAAGUAUUUCAAUUUGUCUGAGAGACAACCGCUUCCAUUUCGUUAUACUUAUUACGUAAGUGGGCGCACAAACUGCCGUUGUUACCCAAAACUAAGAUGGCCGAAAGGAACCAAUAAUAAAGAAAAGAAAAUAUGCACCGCAUGGUUCGUUUUUGUCUACCGCACCGCUGCUGCAAAGGCGGCGGCGGCCAUCAGCUACGCCAGCACUGCAGAGCACAAAACUUUGUUGAACUGAUCACAACAGUAAUCCUGGGUCCACCGAUCAAGUUCGUUGAACUGAAAUAUUCGCUAUUCCGAAAUUCGUUUUUCGUAGAGCAAACUUUUUUGCAUAGAAUGCAAAGGAAAACCGCCAUAGAUUUUUGAAAGUUUGUUAUUCUGAAAUACUUGUUAAACCGACAUUUGCUCAAGUGCGAGUUUAUUGCACCCGACUACUGUGCGUUGCCCUACAUGUUCGGGUAAGGUACUGUUUCUGUUUACCUAAUAGGCACUUUUGUUCUCUGCA
rnacentral:misc_RNA from 1 species